rnacentral:rRNA from 1 species
CGACUUGGAGGUUGUGCCCCUGAGGCGUGGCUUCCGGAGCUAACGCGUUAAGUCGACCGCCUGGGGAGUACGGCCGCAAGGUUAAAACUCAAAUGAAUUGACGGGGGCCCGCACAAGCGGUGGAGCAUGUGGUUUAAUUCGAUGCAACGCGAAGAACCUUACCUGGUCUUGACAUCCACAGAACUUUCCAGAGAUGGAUUGGUGCCUUCGGGAACUGUGAGACAGGUGCUGCAUGGCUGUCGUCAGCUCGUGUUGUGAAAUGUUGGGUUAAGUCCCGCAACGAGCGCAACCCUUAUCCUUUGUUGCCAGCGGUCCGGCCGGGAACUCAAAGGAGACUGCCAGUGAUAAACUGGAGGAAGGUGGGGAUGACGUCAAGUCAUCAUGGCCCUUACGACCAGGGCUACACACGUGCUACAAUGGCGCAUACAAAGAGAAGCAAUCUCGCGAGAGCUAGCGGACCUCAUAAAGUGCGUCGUAGUCCGGAUUGGAGUCUGCAACUCGACUCCAUGAAGUCGGAAUCGCUAGUAAUCGUGAAUCAGAAUGUCACGGUGAAUACGUUCCCGGGCCUUGUACGCACCGCCCGUCACACCAUAAAGUGGGUUGCAAAAGAAGUAGGUAGCUUAACCUUCGGGAGGGCGCUUACCACUUUGUGAUUCAUGACUGGGGUGAAGACGUAACAAGGUAAC